rnacentral:rRNA from 1 species
GUUUAUGGCCGUCACCUUCUGGAAAUGCUUGAUCUCAUCUGACCUCUUAAACUAAGCAGGGCCGGGACUGGUUGGUGCCUGUGUUGGGGAAUAUGUAUCGAGGCAACCUGAAUAUAUAAUUC